AGAAUUUUUCUCAAUGGGGGAAACCCUGAAGGAGCGACGCCGCGUGGAGGAUGAAGGGCUUCGGCUCGUAAACUCCUGUCACCAGGGAACAAUUGUUGCAACCUAACACGUUGUAAUUUGAUGGUACCUGGAGAGGAAGGCACGGCUAACUCUGUGCCAGCAGCCGCGGUAAUACAGAGGUGCCAAGCGUUGUUCGGAUUUACUGGGCGUAAAGGGUGCGUAGGUGGUUUGGUAAGUCAAAUGUGAAAUCCUGCAGCUUAACUGCAGAACUGCAUUCGAAACUGCCAGGCUAGAGUACUGGAGAGGAGAUCGGAAUUCUCGGUGUAGCAGUGAAAUGCGUAGAUAUCGAGAGGAACACCAGUGGCGAAAGCGGAUCUCUGGACAGUUACUGACACUGAUGCACGAAAGCUAGGGGAGCAAAC
rnacentral:rRNA from 1 species